GACGAACGCUGGCGGCGUGCUUAACACAUGCAAGUCGAACGGAAAGGCCCUGCUUUUGUGGGGUGCUCGAGUGGCGAACGGGUGAGUAACACGUGAGUAACCUGCCCUUGACUUUGGGAUAACUUCAGGAAGCUGGGGCUAAUACCGGAUAGGAGCUCCUGCUGCAUGGUGGGGGUUGGAAAGUUUCGGCGGUUGGGGAUGGACUCGCGGCUUAUCAGCUUGUUGGUGGGGUAGUGGCUUACCAAGGCUUUGACGGGUAGCCGGCCUGAGAGGGUGACCGGCCACAUUGGGACUGAGAUACGGCCCAGACUCCUACGGGAGGCAGCAGUGGGGAAUAUGGCACAAUGGGCGGAAGCCUGAUGCAGCAACGCCGCGUGCGGGAUGACGGCCUUCGGGUUGUAAACCGCUUUCGCCUGUGACGAAGCGUGAGUGACGGUAAUGGGUAAAGAAGCACCGGCUAACUACGU
rnacentral:rRNA from 1 species